UACGAAGAGGGCUAGCGUUGCUCGGAAUUACUGGGCGUAAAGCGCACGUAGGCGGCUCUUUAAGUCGGGGGUGAAAUCCUGGAGCUCAACUCCAGAACUGCCUUCGAUACUGAAGAGCUCGAGUCCGGGAGAGGUGAGUGGAACUGCGAGUGUAGAGGUGAAAUUCGUAGAUAUUCGCAAGAACACCAGUGGCGAAGGCGGCUCACUGGCCCGGUACUGACGCUGAGGUGCGAAAGCGUGGGGAGCAAACAGG
rnacentral:rRNA from 1 species